rnacentral:rRNA from 1 species
CCUACGGGGGGCUGCAGUGGGGAAUAUUGGACAAUGGGCGAAAGCCUGAUCCAGCCAUGCCGCGUGUGUGAAGAAGGUCUUCGGAUUGUAAAGCACUUUAAGUUGGGAGGAAGGGCAGUUACCUAAUACGUGAUUGUUUUGACGUUACCGACAGAAUAAGCACCGGCUAACUCUGUGCCAGCAGCCGCGGUAAUACAGAGGGUGCAAGCGUUAAUCGGAAUUACUGGGCGUGAAGCGUGCGUAGGGGGUUGAAAUCCCCGGGCUCAACCUGGGAACUGCAUUCAAAACUGACUGACUAGAGUAUGGUAGAGGGUGGUGGAAUUUCCUGUGUAGCGGUGAAAUGCGUAGAUAUAGGAAGGAACACCAGUGGCGAAGGCGACCACCUGGACUGAUACUGACACUGAGGUGCGAAAGCGUGGGGAGCAAACAGGAUUAGAUACCCCGGUAGUC